rnacentral:rRNA from 1 species
UACAGAGGGGGCAAGCGUUGUUCGGAAUUACUGGGCGUAAAGGGCGCGUAGGCGGCCUUCUAAGUCGAACGUGAAAUCCCCGGGCUCAACCCCGGGAACUGCGUCCGAUACUGGAAGGCUUGAAUCCGGGAGAGGGAUGCGGAAUUCCAGGUGUAGCGGUGAAAUGCGUAGAUAUCUGGAGGAACACCGGUGGCGAAGGC